rnacentral:rRNA from 1 species
GACGACAAGGUUGAUAGGGCAGAGGUGGAAGUGCAGUAAUGUACGCAGCUGACUGUUACUAAUAGGUCGUAUGCUUGACCAA